GUCUAAAUGUAAGUUUUAUGUUAUUUGUAAGUAAACACUUUUAUCUAUAACUGGUUUAUGAACAGACGUACAAACUACUUACCACGAAGAACGAUAUACAGUCUGUAGGCCUGACGUUACACUCAAUCAUCGGCCCCUCUGCUGUAGGCUGGUCAGCUAUUUCGAUGCCUCGAUUGUGUUGAGUGACACUCAGAUGGAAUCUACAGCAACAUUAGACUACAGUCUGUGAUGAUAUCCGAUUCUAUGAGACCUGAGUCUGUUUGUUAAAAUGGUGGCCAACGACCAUAUCAUAAGGCGAAGUACUGAGAACUGCACAGACUAAAUGGAUUACUUUAGGAAUCAAGAAGACAACAUUUUGACAAUGCAUAAAAGAUUCUACGCAAAUAAUUUUUAUCAAACUGUCCUUGAAAAUACAUCGUUUUUAUUUAAAUUUAAUUUUCUGCAAAUUCUUCUCCAUAAUUAAAAUAAACGUUAAAAUUGAUCAUUCAU